CGGAAAUCCAGGCAACAGAGUAAUGCACCGAGGUGGGGGUGGCUGCCAGUGGCAACAAUAAAUACAGGAACAUGAAGGGGGUGUCGAGGGAUCACUUGCACCAUCACCCUGAUCUUCCCUUCAUAGGUGCUGACUCUGUGGGUGCUCCAGGGCUGGAGCACCAACAGGAAAAAUGGGGGGUGCUCAGCGACCACCGGCAGCUAGCUCCCCGCUCUUCUCCCCCAGCGCCUCCCACCCAUGGCGGCCCUGAUGAUCAGCACCUCCCCAUCCCUCCCAGCGCCUUCCACCCGCCGCGAUCAGCUGUUCCAUGGCAUGCAGAAGCUUGUGUCUGGAGCCUCCUGACUUCACAACGCAGAUCGGGUCUGGAACCGAUCAGGUAACUCAGCAGGGUGAGAAGUGGACCUCAGGCAACAGAUGGACCUCCGGACACGGACAGGCUAUGUGACUGAAAACAUUGUUUCCUGGACUGCCUACUACUUAGAUAACGGUUGGCAAGAGGAACACGGAAUCUGGAUGAACCACGGCUAUGGAGCACCUUGACUGGAGAUCAGAAGCUGAACUGAGUCACUUCUCCCACCAUGAGCCAGUUCCUGGCACUUCUGCUGAGAAGCUUCUAUUUGACUUGUAGAAAUAUUGUUAUCAAAACCAGAACAGUUAAACUGAUGGUUGUUUUGACAUAAGAACAGCCAUAUUGGGUUGCACCAAAGGUCCAUAUAGCUCUGUAUUCUGUCUUCCAACAGUGGCCAAUACCAGGUGCCCCAGAGGGAAUGAACAGAACAGGUAAUUAUCAAUCUUAAAUUUGCACUUUAGGGGCACACCAAUAACUACCGCUUCCAAGGAAGACCAAUUUCCACGUGAUGGAUAUGACACUAGCAGUUUUGAAUUGUAAAAGUGAGGAAAAGUUUUCCUUUUGAUGACAUGUUGACAUGCUGUGAUACCAGUCAGCUCUGUGUUUUUGGAGAACCAGAGCCCAGUAUCUAGCCUGUCUGACUCAUGACAGACACCCCCCACUACCAGUCUCUGCUUGAACCAAAACCAAUCAGAGAAAAGGCUUGCAGAGAGCAGUGAAGGGCAUUGGGAGGCACACCUAGAUCCCCCCUGACAAGGGUGACAAGAUUAAGACAUCUCCAUUAGUAUACAGAAUGAAGAACAGAGACAACUCCCCUAGCCUCAUCUGCAUGAAAGAUGGGACAUGGAUUAGUAUAAAGAAUGAAGAACAGAGAACCGCACUGAACUGUGGGACCAGAAAAGCAGAGAAGCACUGCAUCAUGGGAAUUUCUGUUCCAGAUAUUAAUGAACCUACACCUGCACACACCCAGCUCAGCAAUUAUCAGACCAAUUCUAGUAAUGAAUCCUUCAUUGAUAUCCAAAAUACUGAAGCAGCCUAGUUGCAUUGUGAGCUCCCUGGAAGAAAACAUCACCCAUAGCCAAGAGUGAUCAGCUCCUAUUGUCUAGCCUAAACAAAACCCUUGAGUCAUCAGUUUACCUAUAAACAAAUCUAGUAUUCUCCCUUGAGCCAUUGUAUUUUCUCUACAAAAAUCCCUACUCACCCUCCAGUCAGUGUUCUGAUGCAUGGAUCCAAACUCUGCAACAGUUCCACUGGGACUCCAUCUCCUGACUGAUCGUGCUGGGGGCUCUGUCUGUCUCCAGCACUCAGGACCCUGAGCUACCACCAUCACCUGGGAACCCCGACGAGUUCAAGCCUCAUGGAGUGGGUGAGAUCCCUCUCUCUCUCUUCUUUUCUACUUCAGGUAUUAGCCUUUAAAAAUGUAACUGUUAGGUUUG